rnacentral:sRNA from 1 species
GCACUUGUUGUCCGACUCUGUUGCCUCCGGGGCGACCCUGCCUUCGGGCGGGGGCUCCGGGUGGACACUUCAAACUCUUGCGUAACUUUGCAGUCUGAGUAAACUUAAUUAAUAAAUUAAAACUUUUAACAACGGAUCUCUUGGUUCUGGCAUCGAUGAAGAACGCAGCGAAAUGCGAUAAGUAAUGUGAAUUGCAGAAUUCAGUGAAUCAUCGAAUCUUUGAACGCACAUUGCGCCCCCUGGUAUUCCGGGGGGCAUGCCUGUUCGAGCGUCAUUUCACCACUCAAGCCUCGCUUGGUAUUGGGCAACGCGGUCCGCCGCGUGCCUCAAAUCGACCGGCUGGGUCUUCUGUCCCCUAAGCGUUGUGGAAACUAUUCGCUAAAGGGUGUUCGGGAGGCUACGCCGUAAAACAACCCCAUUUCUAAGGUGACCUCGGAUCAGUAGA